AAACAUUAUGCAAGUAAACUAGAGAACAUCUUUUAUUUUUAUACAGAUAAGAACAAGAGUUUGCAUGGUUGUAUGGCUUGCUUGUGAUCUUUUCACAUCAGAAUUUCUUAAUGUUCACAAACCAACAUUCUAAGUGGAAAAAAUUGCCUCUUGCUCAGAACUUCUUUUUAUCUAACUGCUAAGGAGAAGCCAUGAACAUUUUCCCUCUGUGCUAUAGUGAUA
rnacentral:lncRNA from 1 species